GCCUGAAAGCAGUCAGUGUCAGUGAGCUGGCCUGAAGGCUCUGAAAUAGUGUGACUCCCCUUGUGGGCAGGUGUGCACAUGGCACAGGGCAGCAAUGAAUAUGUAUCUAGGAUAUAUUUUAGAUUAUUUAAAUCUUCCAUGCCCAGGGAAGCAUAACAGUAGAAUGUUCAGUUAUUCCCAAAAUAUUAGGGCAUAUUAUUGGCAAAUUGAAAGCUUUUGGAACAAAAAAUAUGAGGUUUCUGAAUAGAAUGCUCAGUCUUUGUGUGGCAUGCCUUUAAGCAGGGAGAAAACCUAUGUGAGAAGGAGUAAGAUUUAAAAAAGAAUUUCAAGCUAGAAACUGGGGAAGCGAGGAGGAAGAGAGGAGCAGAGAAUCACAGUGACCUUUGUUUAAAGGUGCCAUUUUGACCUCUUUAUAAUCACAAGUCAGAAAUAUCAGACAUAUUCCAGAAGGAAGAUAAUUACUGGGUCAUUGUAAUAGCAUGAUAAAAAUUGCAUGGGAAAGAACUAAAAUAGAUCCCCUCCAAACUAGGAAAAGGACAUGAACUCUGUCAAAUUAAAAGCAGAAACAGAGAGGAAGACUAAAAAAAUAUUUUGAGGAAACUUGCUACUAGACAAAAAGCCUCCUCUAUCCCAGCAGGAGCUGGGAGCCUGCUGGAGAGUUCUGCAGGUGACCAGGGUGUGCAGUCAGCAGAUGAUCAAGGGGGCAAAGGAGUUUGAGAGGAAACACGUCCUAACACAACAGCUAAACAGAUUAUUGUUUAGUAAUUGUGUCUGUGUUCAGAGCAGAAAAGCUUAGUGAAAUUCCCAUGGCAGAACCAUUUGUUAAAGGGAUAAUGCAGGGAAACCGUCUCAGAUUGAAGGGUUGUUAGAUGAGGCUUUAGAACAAAUAAAUGCAAGGGAUAGUAGCAAAUUCCUGAAAAGCAGAUGUUACUCGCCUGUGGGUUUUUAAGGAAUGCUAAUGGAAAUGAUUGCACUAUAAGAGCUAGUGUAUAAGCUUUUACUUAAAACCGCUAAAGAAAAAGGAUGGCAAAUGAUAAUGUUUUCUUUUAAGUGCUGUAAGGGAUCUAGAGAAAUGCAAGCCAUUAAAUCUGACACCUGUGGUAGGCAAACAGCAAAAGCCAUAGUAACAGAAUAGUUGCAAGGAGAGACACAGAGCAAGAGGGGAGAAUUGGCAGAGCUUUGCAGUGAGAGCCUAUGAAGCUGUGCUGCACCACCCUCUGACGGCUUCAGAGGAAACUGUGAAGCUGCAGAUGAGAGCAAUCCGCUCACUAUGAUCUGCUCAGCUUCUAGAAAGCCUUUAACAACAUCUGUCACUAAGGACCCACUAAGAAGCUAAUCUGGCACGGGGUAAGAGGGAAGAUCCUCUCAUGAGUCAGCAACUGCAUACAGGAUAAGAGACAAGCCCCCUUUAGGUACUGGGAGGUGCUUCAAGGUCUCUCCAGAGCUGUCUCCUCUCCACGCUGAACAACCCCAGCUCUUUCAACCUACAUCCAUAGGGAGAGGUUCUCCAGCCCUCUGAUCAUCUUCAUAAUCUCCUCUGGACUCUCUCCAGCAGGUAUGUCCCCAUGAGGAUCAGGGCUUGUGAAAGUGAGGCAAUUAUGUAUUAUGUAAACCAAGAUUCUUCAAGGUGGAAAGAAGAGUCUGAGAGUCUGGUGGAACUCUAUAAACUCAAAUGAGUCACUACCUCUCAGAACAUGCAAGAAUGGGGCAUCAGAUGAUGGUUUUAGGUUCAAGACAAAGAUGAAGGCAACAAGCUCUGCUCCCAGAUAAAGAAGUUUCUCCCUUUACAGAACCUGUUUUCACAGGAUGUUGGGGAGUAUAGAAGCACCAUAAAUGGUUUUAGAAGCAAGUCAACAACUGUGAGGAAGAUAAAUCAUCUGAAACACUAAGCUACCCCUCAGAUAAGAAGACCAUAGACCAGAAGUGGCUGUCCUCCCUGCUGGGCAUGAGCAGAGCAAGGAUACCAGAUGGAUAAGCUUUGCAGCCAAACCUGUUUGACACUGUAUCAAUCAGACAAUGUUUUAGAAGUAGAUUAGAAGAAACCCCAUCACCCUGCAGAGAAGAAGUGCACAAGCACAGCUUUCCUUUCUUAUGGGACUAUGAUCACCUUAUUAGCAUUAGUACCAUUUCUUGUUCCAGGAUAAGUUACACUGUUUGCUAUUUUAAAACUUAAAAUAAAGAUUAAGAAAAAGAGCCCAUUCUUAUGUUCUUUUUCCAUGUAUUUUUAUGUUCUGUGUU